AAGUCCAUGAUGUAGACAUCUUCGAAGCAACUCCCUAAACCUUUCACAUGCUUCCUAUAAUGACUCAUCCUUUAAUUGACUAAAACUAGUAAUAUCCAUUCUAAAUUU